rnacentral:rRNA from 1 species
GUAGGUGGCAAGCGUUGUCCGGAUUUAUUGGGCGUAAAGGGCGCGCAGGCGGCCCGUCAAGUCUGGGGUGAAAGCUCCCGGCUCAACCGGGAGAGGUCUUCAGAUACUGACGGGCUUGAGGAGAGCAGAGGAGAGCGGAAUUCCCGGUGUAGCGGUGAUAUGCGUAGAUAUCGGGAGGAACACCAGUGGCGAAGGCGGCUCUCUAGGCUCUUCCUGACGCUGAGGCGCGAAAGCGUGGGGAGCAAACCGGGAUUAGAUACCCGGGUAGUCCACGCUGUAAACGUUGGGCACUAGGUGUGGGAGGUAUUGACCCCCUUCCGUGCCCGCAGUUAACGCGUUAAGUGCCCCCGCCUGGGGAGUACGGCCGCAAGGCUA